CAGGCCUAACACAUGCAAGUCGAGGGGUAGAGGUCUUCGGGACUUGAGACCGGCGCACGGGUGCGUAACGCGUAUGCAAUCUACCUUAUACAGGGGAAUAGCCCAGAGAAAUUUGGAUUAAUGCCCCAUAGUGUUAUCGAAUCGCAUGGUUUGAUAACUAAAGUUCCAACGGUAUAAGAUGAGCAUGCGUCCCAUUAGUUAGUUGGUAAGGUAACGGCUUACCAAGACAAUGAUGGGUAGGGGUCCUGAGAGGGAGAUCCCCCACACUGGUACUGAGACACGGACCAGACUCCUACGGGAGGCAGCAGUGAGGAAUAUUGGUCAAUGGGCGCAAGCCUGAACCAGCCAUGCCGCGUGCAGGAAGACGGUCCUAUGGAUUGUAAACUGCUUUUAUACAGGAAGAAACCCUCCCACGUGUGGGAGCUUGACGGUACUGUAGGAAUAAGGAUCGGCUAACUCCGUG
rnacentral:rRNA from 1 species